GACGAACGCUGGCGGCGUGCUUAACACAUGCAAGUCGAACGGAAAGGCCCUGCUUUUGUGGGGUGCUCGAGUGGCGAACGGGUGAGUAACACGUGAGUAACCUGCCCUUGACUUUGGGAUAACUUCAGGAAACUGGGGCUAAUACCGGAUAGUAGCUCCUGCUGCAUGGUGGGGGUUGGAAAGUUUCGGCGGUUGGGGAUGGACUCGCGGCUUAUCAGCUUGUUGGUGGGGUAGUGGCUUACCAAGGCUUUGACGGGUAGCCGGCCUGAGAGGGUGACCGGCCACAUUGGGACUGAGAUACGGCCCAGACUCCUACGGGAGGAAGCAGUGGGGAAUAUUGCACAAUGGGCGGAAGCCUGAUGCAGCAACGCCGCGUGCGGGAUGACGGCCUUCGGGUUGUAAACCGCUUUCGCCUGUGACGAAGCGUGAGUGACGGUAAUGGGUAAAGAAGCACCGGCUAACUACGUG
rnacentral:rRNA from 1 species